rnacentral:rRNA from 1 species
UGCCAGCCGCCGCGGUAAUACGGAGAGGGCGAGCGUUAUUCGGAUUUAUUGGGCGUAAAGGGCGUGUAGGCGGCUUGGCAGGUCAAAGGUGAAAUCCCGGGGCUUAACCCCGGAACUGCCCUCAAAACUGUCGAUCUAGAGACCGGGAGAGGUAAGCGGAAUUCCUAGUGUAGAGGUGAAAUUCGUAGAUAUUAGGAAGAACACCAGUGGCGAAGGCGGCUUACUGGACCGGUACUGACGCUGAGGUACGAAAGCGUGGGGAGCGAACAGGAUUAGAUA